GGAGGGAUAGAGCGGCAAAUGACAUAAAGUUUCACCUACUGUACAACCGCUUAGCCUUAAUUUCUGUUUCUCCUGACAGCAUUUCCAGUAAUGACAGGUCUGAUGAAUUCCGGGGGGCUUGAAUACUUUUGUAAGCCACUCUGUAUGACCACUCACCCAUAUGAAGCCCUGCUCUAAUGUCACAAGCCUCUCUGCCUCAUGCAUUUUCCUCAUAUGUCUCCAGUGACCCCUUUAACUCACAGCUCUGGCAGCUCAAUAAUCAUUUUGUGGAACUGUACAUUAACUGGAUCCACACAUGCCCUGCAGUUAUGAAAACACUCUGAGCACGUGCAGAACCACGGGCCACGUGUGCGUCUUCAGCAAAGAAUUUUGACAGACAAGAGGUCAUGGGAAGAUCAUUAAAAAGCAACUGUGUACACAAAGACGUUCAUGAGGAUACAUAGGAGGUGAAAAGAAAAGCCAGCGUGUGUGUGUGUGUGUGUGUGUGUGUGUGUGUGUGUCUCGUUCUGUUGAGCCAGCUGGAAGAGUAUGUGUUUUUAACAGAUGUUCAAAAGUUCCUGGUGUUCUUGGAAAUCCUUGGAUUUGGACAUGGGUUAUCUUGUGGGCGUAUGUGUGUAAACGUAUGCAUAUAUGUGUUCUGUUACAUCGCCGGUCAACCCCAGGACAUCAAGAUUUCAAAAUGUAGUAGUAAAUAGAUCAAAAUGGCCCUGGAGCAUAUGGUAAAUAAGCACCGCGUGCCUCUACAUGGUAAAAGUACAUGUUUUUUUUAAUCACAAAACAGGAUGAUACACACGACAGAUGACCUGACCUAAAAUAUACUGCUCCUCUACUAAUCAUUUUAAAAGGAGGUCAUGAAAGUGACAGCGAGGAAUAUUUUAAUGAGGCAGAACAGGAUAGGAGUCGAGUAUCCAUAACCAGAGUCUGGAGUCUGGAGUCUUCGCUCCGAGCCAAAAGUCAAGAGCACAUUAUGUUACACUCUGAAUAUACCCACAAUCCAACUGGUCUGGACCGCCGGCGCACCACAGAGUUAAAGGAGCGCAUAACAGGAAUGAUGAAUCAGCACUGGGGCGCAUGCAGACACACACACACACACACACACACACACACACAUAUACGAGGUCUUUGGCAUGAAAGCUCUGAAGGUAAAUAUGAGGUCUGUCAUAAGCUCCAAUCUAAAUUUAACCUCAGUUCAGUCUUUAAAUCUGUCGCUCUUUGCUCCCACUCCCAAGCGAAGAGACUCAAGACAAAUCAUAUGCACGUAAAUCAUAAUAUACAGUACAAGUAUAUCACAAAUCAUGCAAAAAGGCUGAAUCUUUCCAUAUACGCUAUUUGAUUCAUAUCCAUGUCACGUUUUAAUCAUCAACAGCUUUUCCGGUUGAUUCAGAUCAGCUACCUGAAUUGUUUUUGGUGCAUUCUUACGUUUAUAGCCAAAUAGCCUACAUACACCUAUCAGCCAUAUGAUUAAAACCACUGACAGGUGACGUGAAUGACAUCGGUGAUCUCGUUACAGUGGCACUUGUUAAGGGGUGGGAUGAUAGAUUAGGCAGCAAGUGAACAGUCCGCUCUCAAAGUCGAUGCGUUGGAAGCGUAAGGAUCUGAGCGACUUUGACAAGGGUUAAAUUGCGAUGGCUAGACGACCGGGUCAGAGCAUCUCCAAAACAGCAGGUCUUGUGGGGUGUUCCCGGUAUGCAGGGGUUAAUACCUACCAAAAGUGGUCCAAGGAAGGACAACCAGUGAACCGGCGAGAGGGUCUACGGCUCGACGGGAUUCCCCUAAUUCAGUUGGAUUGUUCUGGAAUGGUUUGAGGAACACGAUAAUAGAGUUCAAGGAGUUGACUUGGCUUCCAAAUUCCCCUGAUCGCAAUCUCAUCAAGCAUCUGUAGGAUGUGCUGGACAAGCAAGUCCGAUCCAGUGAGGCCCCUCAUGACAACUUACAGGAAAUGGUGACAGACACCACGGCACACCUUCAGAGGUCCUGUGGAGUCCGUGCCUCAAAGGGUCAGAGCUGUUUUGGCGACACAAGGGGGAUCUACACAAUAUUAGGCAGAUGGUUUUAAAGUUAUGUCUGAUUGGUGUAUAUGGUCCAUCCUACUGUAUUGAAAUGAAAACUGUAUUUGAUAUCAUACCACAAAAUGUCUCGUUUUUCCCUGCACCACUUUCCUUAUAUGGUCAAUCUUUCCUGUUUUUGUUUUCUGUUCUCAUGGUCGUCCAAGUGUCUCCACCGGCUCCUAACAGUACCCCUCGUUAGCAUUUUUCUUGAACCUUUUGUGUUUCUCUUCGUGUCGUGUCGGUUUGUGUUUUGUUUUUCAGUUCCUAGUUAAAUUGCUUGUCCCCCCCCCCUCCCCCAAUCAGUCUUUCAUCACAUGCUUAGAAGAUUAGCGCU